UCAGUAUCAGAAUGUGUAUUGCGAUGUAACGCAUCUAUAUACAACUUUCAGCAACGGAUCUCUUGGCUCUCGCAUCGAUGAAGAACGCAGCGAAAUGCGAUAAGUAAUGUGAAUUGCAGAAUUCAGUGAAUCAUCGAAUCUUUGAACGCACCUUGCGCUCCUUGGUAUUCCGAGGAGCAUGCCUGUUUGAGUGUCAUGAAAUCUUCAACCUAUAAACCUUUGCGGGUUUGUUAGGCUUGGACUUGGAGGCUUGCCGGCCCAGUUGUCGGCUCCUCUCAAAUGCAUUAGCUUGAUUCCUUGCGGAUCGGCUCUCGGUGUGAUAAUUGUCUACGCCGCGACCGUGAAGCGUUUGGCGAGCUUCUAACCGUCUCGCAUGAGACAAUUCAUUGACCUCUGACCUCAAAUCAGGUAGGACUACCCGCUGAACUUAAGCAUAUCAAUAAGCGGAGGAAAAGAAACUAACAAGGAUUCCCCUAGUAACUGCGAGUGAAGCGGGAAAAGCUCAAAUUUAAAAUCUGGCGUGUCUAUGGCCGUCCGAGUUGUAGUCUGGAGAAGCGUCUUCCGUGC
rnacentral:rRNA from 1 species